ACCAGGUGAUCAACUGUAAGAUCCUCUCUGUCACCCAGAUGACCAGACUGGUUCUCCCACGCAUGGUUGCAAGAGGGAACGGUCUGAUCAUCAACAUGUCUUCAGAGGCAGGUGCUCAACCACAACCCAUGCUGUCUCUCUACUCCGCCACCAAGG